rnacentral:rRNA from 1 species
UACGUAGGGUGCAAGCGUUAUCCGGAUUUAUUGGGCGUAAAGGGCUCGUAGGCGGUUCGUCGCGUCCGGUGUGAAAGUCCAUCGCUUAACGGUGGAUCCGCGCCGGGUACGGGCGGGCUUGAGUGCGGUAGGGGAGACUGGAAUUCCCGGUGUAACGGUGGAAUGUGUAGAUAUCGGGAAGAACACCAAUGGCGAAGGCAGGUCUCUGGGCCGUUACGUGACGCUGAGGAGCGAAAGCGUGGGGAGCGAACGAGG